UGGAUUUAUUCGAUUUUUUAU
rnacentral:piRNA from 1 species